CGUUAUACAAUAGAUGUAAAUUAAUAUUUUUGGUUAAAUUGAAGUUAAUGUUUUUGUUGAUAAUAUAUAUUUAUGUUUAAUAGGUGAAAUUUUUAAAUUUAAUUAAUUUAUUUUUGAUUCUUUUAAAUACUUUAUAUAAAAUAGGAUUAGAUACCCUAUUAUUUUGUAUGUGAAUAAUUUACCCGGGUAAUAAUAGUUAUGUUCUUUAAACCCAAAGAAUUUGGCGGUAUUUUAAGUCUAUUCAGAGGAAUUUGUCCUAUAAUCGAUAGUCCCCGUUAUAUUUUACUUUAUUUUGUUAUAUUCAGUUUGUAUACCGCCGUUAUAAGCUUAUUUUUUUAGAAUUUUAAAUUUGCUUUAAAUUUCAUUUUAUUUUAUUUCA
rnacentral:rRNA from 1 species